rnacentral:tRNA from 2 species
CGCGCGAUGCCAGAGCGGUAAUGGAGCGGCCUGCAAAGCCGUUGGGGAAACCCGGCGUCGGUUCGAUCCCGACUCGCGCGUCCA